AACCCAAUCCCAGGCAAGGACCCUGAGGGCGAUAACCAGGGACUGGGACUGGGAGAACCGGUGCGGGCGGAGGGGAAGCAAGGCCAGGCAGACGCUGAAAGAGGUGGACAAAUCGAGUGGCAAAUCGCGGGGUGUUAUUCGAGGAGCGGGAGAGUGGCUGCUUUAAGCGUGGGUGGAGGAAGACCAGAAAGGCCCCUGAGAGAAAAAGGGAAGAGAAGGGGAAGCUGGGGAGGUAACACGGAAGAGCGCAGGAGAGCGGUGGUGAGGGGACAGGGGUUGGCAGAAAGACAAGUGUGCAGCUCCGAGUCAGGACAAGCGGCACUGCUCCGCGCCCGGCACACAGGCAGCCGCCGCCGGACCUGCUGCUCCCAACAUGGCCGCCACCACCGCCGGCCCUCGGCUCUUUCCGCCUGCUGCAGCCGGAAACAUCCGAAGCGUCUAGGAAAGGGAGGGGGACGUGCCUUCUCCUCUCUGCCACCGACUAAGGAUAAAUUCCGGAAACAACCGAAGAAGGUAACCCCCGGGGACGCGCGCGCCUCUUCGAGUCCGAAAACCGAGCUUCGGCUCUGUUUACGGAAACCCACGAAGUGACUCCGGGCACUCCUGAACCACCCGCCACGCCCACCGGCCUUUCCCCGCCCACUUCGAGCUGGCUUUCGGCAGUUUCCGGAAACACCCGAAGCGGCUCCGCGUGCUGCGCGGGUCACGCCCCCAUCCCUCAGCUCAGCCGAGGGCGGUC
rnacentral:lncRNA from 1 species